UACGUAGGGUGCAAGCGUUGUCCGGAAUUAUUGGGCGUAAAGAGCUCGUAGGCGGUUUGUUGCGUCGGCUGUGAAAUCCCGAGGCUCAACCUCGGGUCUGCAGUCGAUACGAGCAAACUAGAGUGUUGCAGGGGAGACUGGAAUUCCUGGUGUAGCGGUGAAAUGCGCAGAUAUCAGGAGGAACACCGGUGGCGAAGGCGGGUCUCUGGGCCGAUACUGACGCUGGAGGAGCGAAAGCCGUGGGAGCGAACAGG
rnacentral:rRNA from 1 species